rnacentral:rRNA from 1 species
GCAUAUCAAUAAGCGGAGGAAAAGAAACUAACAAGGAUUCCCUUAGUAACUGCGAGUGAAGAGGGAAGAGCUCAAAUUUAAAAUCUGGCAGUCUCUGGCUGUCCGAGUUGUAAAUUAGAGAAGUGUUAUCCGCGUUGGCCUGUGCAAAAGUCUCUUGGAAAAGGGCAUCAUAGAGGGCGACAAUCCCGUCUUUGGCACAGACUACCAGUGCUGUUGUGAUACGCUCUCGAAGAGUCGAGUUGUUUGGGAAUGCAGCUCUAAAUGGGAGGUAAAUUUCUCCUAAGGCUAAAUAUUGGCGAGAGACCGAUAGCGAACAAGUACCGUGAGGGAAAGAUGAAAAGAACUUUGAAAAGAGAGUAAAAUAGUACGUGAAAUUGUUGAAAGGGAAACGAUUGAAGUCAGUCGUACCGACGGAAAAUCAGCUCUUUAGUGCGGACUUGUGGGCUUACGUGAGUUUUAACACCUCGCUGUUUGCAACGUUCGUGUUUUUUGGGUGUACUUUUUCGUAUGGUAGGCCAAUGUCAGUUUCGAUCGCUAUAAAAUGACCGGCGGAAUGUAGCUUCGAUCUCGUAUUGAAGUGUUAUAGCCUCUGGUAGAUGUGGUGAUCGGGACUGAGGAUUGCAACGAAUACCUUUUGGGCUAUCCGUCUGAUCUCUGAAGGUUGCUUAGGUGCCGAAAGCAUGCUUACGGUUAUUUAAGUUGACAGUCAAAAGGUUAGAACGUGAUUAUAUUCGUUAAGGAUGUUGACGUA